UGGGGAAUAUUGCACAAUGGCCGAAAGCCUGAUGCAGCGACGCCGCGUGAGGGAUGACGGCCUUCGGGUUGUAAACCUCUUUCAGCAGGGACGAAGCGCAAGUGACGGUACCUGCAGAAGAAGCACCGUCUAACUACGUGCCAGCAGCCGCGGUAACACGUCGGGUGCAGGCGUUGUCCGGAAUUACUGGGCGUAAAGAGUUCGUAGGCGGUUUGUCGCGUCGUAUGUGAAAACCAGCAGCUCAACUGCUGGCUUGCAGGCGAUACGGGCAGACUUGAGUACUGCAGGGGAGACUGGAAUUCCUGGUGUAGCGGUGAAAUGCGCAGAUAUCAGGAGGAACACCAGUGGCGAAGGCGGGUCUCUGGGCAGUAACUGACGCUGAGGAACGAAAGCGUGGGUAGCGAACAGG
rnacentral:rRNA from 1 species